GCGGAGUCCUCCUCCCCCCGAGGAGGAAGGAGCGGCAGAGACAAGGGGUCUUGAUACAGACAGCUGACUUCAUAUACCGCUCAAAGGAGGCGAACCAGAUUUCCACCACAGCACGAAAGGUCAAUCAAGUUGGAGCGGCUACAGACUCUAACUAUAUCCUGGAACAUCCACGUUUACUGUAAAUUCAGUUCUUACGUACAGCAAAGUAAUCACUUUAUGGUGUCACAGUUCUACUGGAAAAAGGAAAAAGAGAAAAAGGACUGCAAGUGUAGCCAUAUGAAAACAUGCCACCUAGGAAGAAACAUGAUGGAAACCUCUAGAGAUGUAGCUGAAAGUAUAUGCUUUUGUACUGUAAGAAAGUGAAUUGAAUGUUUUCUUACACAGUCUGCUUCUCGCAUAACCCAGAAUAAGUCAGCUUGUUCUGAGGGUCUGGGCCAAAUUAUCAGAAUGUAAUUUGGUCUUUUGCAUAGUCUUCUUUGCUGGUCACCUCCUGUAAAAUAAAGUCAACACAAAGGGAAA